GCAGUGAGAGACUUGGAACAUACCACAUGUUCGGAUGUUAUGU
rnacentral:sRNA from 1 species